rnacentral:rRNA from 1 species
GUCGUAACAAGGUUUCCGUAGGUGAACCUGCGGAAGGAUCAUUAUCGUUGGGCUUCGGCCCAUUCGAGAUAACACCCUUGCCUUUUUGAGUACCUUUUCGUUUCCUCGGCAGGCUCGCCUGCCAACGGGGACCCUUCAAAACGCUUUGUAAUACCUGUAAUCGUCUGAUAUAACAAGCAAAAAUCAAAACUUUCAACAACGGAUCUCUUGGUUCUGGCAUCGAUGAAGAACGCAGCGAAAUGCGAUAAGUAGUGUGAAUUGCAGAAUUCAGUGAAUCAUCGAAUCUUUGAACGCACAUUGCGCCCUUUGGUAUUCCUUAGGGCAUGCCUGUUCGAGCGUCAUUUAAACCUUCAAGCUCAGCUUGGUGAUGGGUGACUGUCCUCCCCUCGCGGGGGGACUCGCCUCAAAAACAUUGGCGGCCGGUACAUUGGCUUCGAGCGCAGCAGAAACGCGGUCUCGAGCCCGGUGGAUCGGCUCCCAUAAGCCUAUUCUUUUAUUUUGACCUCGGAUCAGGUAGGGAUACCCGCUGAACUUAAGCAUAUCAAUAAGCGGAGGAAAAGAAACCAACAGGGAUUGC